rnacentral:lncRNA from 1 species
UGUGUGUUCGAGCAGAGGAGAAGAAAAGAGGGGGAACCCCUCAUGAACCCUAAUCAACGAAAUUGGAUGCGAAUUGGGCUGAAUUCGAAGUUGCAUGAGUCGAAAUAGUGAUUAUCUAAGCAAGCUUUAACCAAGUGUCGUAUGGGAUCACAUGGAAAUGGACUCAAGCAAGAAAGACUAACGGGUCAAGAGGGGACAAGGAAGCCAAUGAGAAAACGGACGCUCAAGGUAAGUGAUUCCGUAAUCACUUCUUAG